AGACGUCUACAUUAGAUACCCGCGUAGUCCCAGCCGUAAACUAUGCGCGUUAGGUGUAUCGGUGACCACGAGUUACCGAGGUGCCGAAGGGAAACCGUGAAACGUGCCGCCUGGGAAGUACGGUCGCAAGGCUGAAACUUAAAGGAAUUGGCGGGGAGCACCACAAUGGGUGGAGCCUGCGGUUUAAUUGGACUCAACGCCGGGAAGCUCACCGGAUAAGACAGCGGAAUGAUUGCCGGGCUGAAGACUCUGCAUGACUAGCUG
rnacentral:rRNA from 1 species